rnacentral:sRNA from 1 species
UCCUAGCCCAGAUGGAAAUGGAAAGCCACGAAAAGCUAAAAUACAUUUUUUUCUGGCUUAAAAAAGCGACCAACGGAAGCUCUUUUUAUGCCUUGAAAAAAAGUAUUUUGGCUCGAGUGCUUGAAAUGGACAGCUGGAAAUAGC